GUAUUCAUAAGAAAUCCUUCAAAUAGCUUUAAACAAAGUAUUCUUAGAGAUGAUGAGAUUCCAGAUUAUAUUCUUAUCGAUGGCAGUGACCACAAUGAUAGUAGCCGCCUACUCACCAACAGAAAAGCAUGCAUUAGACAUACAUGGAGUGAAGAAGAUUUUACAGGUCGAAAACACAGUUGGAAGAGACAUAAACGGGCGUCUUGGUGUCGGAUC